rnacentral:rRNA from 1 species
AUUGAACGCUGGCGGCAUGCCUUACACAUGCAAGUCGAACGGCAGCACGGGUGCUUGCACCUGGUGGCGAGUGGCGAACGGGUGAGUAAUACAUCGGAACAUGUCCUGGAGUGGGGGAUAGCCCGGCGAAAGCCGGAUUAAUACCGCAUACGAUCUACGGAUGAAAGCGGGGGACCUGCGGGCCUCGCUCUCUGGUGUUGGCCGAUGGCUGAUUAGCUAGUUGGUGGGGUAAAGGCCUACCAAGGCGACGAUCAGUAGCUGGUCUGAGAGGACGACCAGCCACACUGGGACUGAGACACGGCCCAGACUCCUACGGGAGGCAGCAGUGGGGAAUUUUGGACAAUGGGCGAAAGCCUGAUCCAGCAAUGCCGCGUGUGUGAAGAAGGCCUUCGGGUUGUAAAGCACUUUUGUCCGGAAAGAAAUCCUUGGCUCUAAUACAGUCGGGGGAUGACGGUACCGGAAGAAUAAGCACCGGCUAACUACGUG